rnacentral:rRNA from 1 species
CAGCCGCCGCGGUAAUACGUAUGUCACGAGCGUUAUCCGGAUUUAUUGGGCGUAAAGCGCGUCUAGGUGGUUAUGUAAGUCUGAUGUGAAAAUGCAGGGCUCAACUCUGUAUUGCCUUGGAAACUGUAUAACUAGAGUACUGGAGAGGUAAGCGGAACUACAAGUGUAGAGGUGAAAUUCGUAGAUAUUUGUAGGAAUGCCGAUGGGGAAGCCAGCUUACUGGACAGAUACUGACGCUGAAGCGCGAAAGCGUGGGUAGCAAACAGGAUUAGAGACCCGAGUAGUCCCUGUCUCUUAUACA